rnacentral:SRP_RNA from 1 species
GCCUGGCGCGGUGGCGCGUGCCUGUAGUUUCAGCUACUCGAGAGGCUGAGGUGGGAGGAUCGCUUGAGCCCAGGAGUUCUGGGCUGUAGGGCGCUAUGCCGAUCGGGUGUCCGCACUAAGUUUGGCAUCAAUAUGGUGACCUCCCGGGAGCGGGGACCACCAGGUUGCCUAAGGAGGGGUGAACCGAUCCAGGUCAGAAACGGGGCAGGUCAAAACUCCCGUGCUGAUCAGUAGUGGGAUGGUGCCUGUGAAUAGCCACUGCACUGCAGCCUGGGCAACAUAGCGAGACCCUGCCUCU